rnacentral:lncRNA from 1 species
CAACAUGUACAUUAAAGUAUUAGUAUUAAAAAAUUAAAAACACCUAAGAUUUUUCUUAUGAGAAAAUUGUAAUAGGAAAAGUUUCAAAAGAAUAUUAUUCAAGCUUUGUAUGUAAAUAAAAACAUUUAGACAAGAUAACAAUAUUCUAAAAAAAAGAAAAAAAAGUUCAUAUAAAAUAAAAAUCCUACAUAUAAUAAAAUGUUAAAGUCAAUAAGUUAAAAUAAAAUUAAUUUGAUAAUAACAUAAAUACAAGAAAUGCAAUUACUCAUUCUAACAAAUUACUCAUUUUAAUAAGUAUAAUAUAAAUAUUUUACUAAAAAUGCAUAACGAAUAUUUAUAUAUCAGAUUGAGAAAUAAAAAAUUAAGACUACUUAUAUAACGGGUUGGAAAUUUAAAUAUAGUUAUCAUUUAUGACCAAAAAUCUAUCAAAACAUCUCAAAUAUUAAAUAUAUAUAUAUACUAGUUUAUGGAAAACACACACAUACACUAAAAAUAAACUAAAAAUAUAUAUUUUAAUUAUUAUGCAUAAUGUCAUAAUAUACGUGAAAAAUAAAUAAGUCUUAUAUUAUUUAUAGAAAACAAAAGUAUGUUUCUAAAAAAUAAAUAAGUGGUUUCUCUUUUUUACUAGGGAACCUAAAUGUUGUAAAUAAUUC